AGAGUUUGAUCCUGGCUCAGAACGAACGCUGGCGGCGUGGAUAAGACAUGCAAGUUGAACGCGACUUUCGAGGUAGCAAUAUUUCGAGAGUUGAGUAGCGCAAGGGUGCGUAACACGUGGGAAUCUACCCUGAAGUUGGGGAUAACUCGCUGAAAGGCGAGCUAAUACCGAAUGUGGCAGUAAUGCCAAAGCUGGGGACCGAAAGGCCUGGCGAUUCUGGAUGAGCCCGCGGCCUAUCAGCUCGUUGGCGGGGUAACGGCUCACCAAGGCUAAGACGGGUAGCUGGUCUGAGAGGACGACCAGCCUCACUGGAACUGAGACACGGUCCAGACACCUACGGGUGGCAGCAGUCGAGAAUUUUUCUCAAUGGGCGAAAGCCUGAAGGAGCGACGCCGCGUGGGGGAUGAAUGGCUUCGGCCCGUAAACCCCUGUCAUUUGUGAACAAGUUGCUUCACCUAACACGUGAAGCAUUGAUGAACGGAAGAGAAAGACCCC
rnacentral:rRNA from 1 species